UGUCCCAUUUGACUACCACAUUUUCUACUGAUAAUAGAUUUUGGUGGCUAUGCUUAUGGGAUAGAUUAAAGUUGCCAUGAUCUGAAGAGAGAGGGCUUUGCAGUGUCCUCCCUCUAUAUGAAAUGGCUGGACAGUAAACCA
rnacentral:snoRNA from 1 species